rnacentral:lncRNA from 1 species
UAAUAGAAAUGAGGCUGUGUUUGCAUAAAGCGUGAAACUUUGUCCUGGGAACUUUUGUCCUCCUAAUAAUUCCCAGCAAUGUGGACAUUAGAAGGUUACGGACUGUGUGGCAUUUUCACAGAAAGAGCAAAGGGAACCAAUUUAGAAGAUCACUUGCUCUGGAAAAAGUCAGCGGCCAAAUCAUGAAAAUAGUCAUGCAACUCUACAGAGCGGUCCAUGUGGUGGGAAACUGAGGCCUCCUGCCCACAGCCACAUGAGCAAGCCAUCUGGAAAGUGGCUUCUCCAGCCCCUGUCACCUUCAGGUGCCUGCAGCUCAGGCUGACAUCCUGGCUGCAGCCUCAGGAGAGACACUGAACCAGAAGCACCAAGCUAAACUGCGCCUGGGUUCAUAUACUCAAAUGACAUAUUGCACACAUCUUUAGGACAGACUGAAGCUGUGGUUUCCCUGUAGCUGAUGGGGUGACUACAUUAUUAAGAAGACUCUGAUGGAAGUGGCCCAUUCAGUUGUUUCUGGAAAACAGGUGCAAAGGAUCCUAUGGAGACUCCUAGGUGCCCCUGGGAUCAUGGAACCAUGAAGAGGAAGCCCCUUUGUUGGCCAUAUGGGAGAUCACUCUUGGGAUACACAACUGGGUUGUGACAUGAGCAAAGACCGAACCUGUUAUUGAGCUAAGCAUUGCGAUAUGAAGUUGUUGAUUUAUCACAGCAAUUAGUCUACCCUGACUACCUUCAGGAGCCGAGGCCACUAUGCUGUUCUCGCAAAACAAGCCAUCUGGAGGUCAGCGUUCCAGGACUGGAGCAGCAGCCUUAUGAUGUCACCAGGAACCCCCCCCCCACCGCCCCAGCUCCCUCUGUCAUCCUGCCCCCUUGUCCUUGGCACAUGGUUUUCAUCCGCAUUCUGCUGGCCCACUUUUGCAUGAUAAUUGCUUCAUACCCAUCUCCAUAUCAGUGCUGAAAAUGAGACAAAACAAGGAAUAGGUGACUUUUUUCAAGAAAGCAAUAGCUUUCCCAGGACCCCAUCAGAUAUUAGCUUAUGUCUGUUUAGCCAAAUCUGUGUGAGAUGGACACCCUUGCC